GAGCAGAUGGCGAAAUAGGUAGACGCAUCACACUCAAAAUGUGACCCUUUUUGGAUGAGGGUUCAAAUCCCUCUCUGCUCA
rnacentral:tRNA from 2 species